rnacentral:misc_RNA from 1 species
AACCAUAGAAACCUGCGGAGUACCUGCGGAGGGAUCAUUACUGAGUAAUUGGGUCUCUAAGGCCCGUACUCCCACCCUUUGUGUACCAUUUUAUUCUUAAAGUUGCCUUGGUAGGAGCCACCCUACUUGAAAAGUAGGGUCCUGCCAGGGGGACUUCUUUUUAAACUCUUUUGAAUCGAGUUGUCUGAGAACAAAUUCAAAUGAAUUAAAACUUUCAGCAAUGGAUCUCAGAUCGGAAGA